AGCAAUAACCUCAUUUCCCCCUGUAAGGUACCAGAUCCCAUCUGAUCUUACAAACUAAGCAGGACAAGUUCUAGUUAGUACUUGGUUGACAGACCACCAAGGAAUACAGGUGUUGUAGGCU
rnacentral:rRNA from 1 species